rnacentral:rRNA from 1 species
GAUGAACGCUGGCGGCGUGCCUAAUACAUGCAAGUCGAGCUAACGGACGAGAAACUUGCUUCUCUGAUGUUAGCGGCGGACGUGUGAGUAACACAUGGAUAACCAACCUAUAAGACUGGGAUGACUUCGUGAAAACGCAGCUAAUACCGGAUACUAGUUCAACCCGCAUUGUUCAAGAGUGAAACACGUUCUUGCUGGCACUUAUAGAUAGAUCCUCGCUGCAUUAGCUAGUUGGUAAGGUAACGGCUUACCAAGGCAACGAUGCAUAGCCGACCGGAGAGGGUGAUCGGCCACACGGGAACUGAGACACGGUCCAGACUCCUACGGGAGGCAGCAGUAGGGAAUCUUCCGCAAUGGGCGAAAGCCUGACGGAGCAACGCCGCGUGAGUGAUGAAGGUCUUCGGAUCGUAAAACUCUGUUAUUAGGGAAGAACAUAUGUGUAAGUAACUGUGCACAUCUUGACGGUACCUAAUCAGAGAGCCACGGCUAACUACGUG